rnacentral:rRNA from 1 species
GACAGAGGUUGCAAACGUUGUUCGGAAUUACUGGGCAUAAAGCGCACGUAGGCGGUUCGUUAAGUCAUGUGUGAAAUCCCUCGGCUCAACCGAGGAAUUGCGCCUGAUACUGGCGGGCUAGAGAUCGAUAGGGGUGAGUGGAACUCCAGGUGGAGCGGUGAAAUGCGUAGAUAUCUGGAGGAACACCGGUGGCGAAAGCGGCUCACUGGAUCGAUACUGACGCUGAUGCACGAAAGCUAGGGGAGCAAACAGG